GAAAGGUCCAUAGGGGAUGCUUACUCCUCCUGGGCAACUGAUCCCACCUCUGGUGUGUCCAGGGGCGAUAUUCGUCCUGCUCUUGAUUUUGUUAUUUUUAUAAGACUGAUGAGAUUGGUCAAUGUUCGUUAUCUUCACAUUUUAUACAUGUGUAUUACAAUUGUUUUUUUCAUUUUCCACUUGCAUUUCGUAUUUCAUUUGUGUGAAAGGUGAAGAUAACGAACAGUGACCAAUCUCAUAACUCCUAUAAGCAAUACAAAAUAGAUAGUCGGGCAAACACGGACCUCUGGAUAUACCAGAGGUGGGAUCAGUUGCCUAGGAGGAGUAAGCAUCCCCUGUAGAAAAUAACUGAAUAUCAAUGACAAUUACUGAUUACAUCCUAGCUACAGAUAUGUAGCUCUUUAGGACAGACCAGACAGUUAUAUAUCUACCCAUUAUAAAACCUUUGAUUUACGGCGCAGAAAAAUGCGCGUGGUUGAGGCCUUAUAUCGUUUUUUCUUUCUUGCAUCACAUCUCAAACAUUUGAUAUAUUUGAAAAAUCCUAACUUAUUUUCCCACUAUAUUUGUUUCCAAACAUACCUUCAAACAUUUAUUAAAGCCCCAUUGAACCUAAAAAAGCAUCACAGCUUCAAAUGAUUUCGUUUAUUGACGUACGUAUGAAAAUUAACAAGAGGCCCACAGAUCUUAUCGAUCACCUGAGUACUAGCUAAAAGUAUCAUUAGCUCCAAGGGAUGUGAAAUCUAGAAACAAUUUCCUGUUUUGAAUAUCUAAGCGAAAUUCUAAUAUUCAACAACAGUAUAAAACAAGAUGUGGUCUUAAAACUUCAAUGCCCUCAGAAGCGCAUGUACUGAUAAAUGGCUUUACAUAAUAUAGUAUCUGUACUAAUAUUAAACGAUUUGACUAAUUUGGACCCAUUCUAGAGACAAAACCCUGCGGUUGCAAAUUCACCAUUUUUGCACAUCCUUUUCUGCUGUUCCUAAUAUGCAUUUGGAUUUAUACGGUAUCAGAAACCUUAAGGAAGUCCUUCAAAUCAUAUUAUAAUUUUGACACUACCCUGAAACUAAACCAAUACCCCCUGAAAUCAUGAAAUUUACGAUUUUGGUAAAGGACUACGUACUCCUUCUAAAUAUCCAUUUAGUUUCAAUUUAGUAUCAAAAGCAUUUAAGUAGAUAUCAUUAAUAUGUUUUACACAUAAACACUAUAUACCAAGUUUUGCCCCACCCUGGAGUCAGAACCUCUACCCGGGGAUCCUGAAAGUUACAAUUUUGGUUGAGGCCUUCCUGCUCUAUAUCAAUAUGCAUUUAGUUUCUCUUAAAGAUAGGCAGGUAUAGAACAAAGAUUUUUGAAAAGUGGCCAAUUUUCGUCAGUUUUGUGCCCCACCCUUAAGACCCGGGGGUGCAGGAGUCGUGAAAUUUACAAUUCAUGUCUUACUUGUUCCAAAGAUGCUUCAAUGCAAAUUUGAAAAUGAUUGGAAUGGUUGUUAUCAAGAAAUUUUAUUUAAAUGUUUUACAUAUAAACACUGCAUACUAAGUUUGGGCCCGCCCUGAGGAAAAAAUUCCCGUCCCCGGGGAUCAUGAAAUUUAGAAGAGUGGUAGAGGCCUUCAUGCUCUACAGCACUAUGCGUUUAGUUCUUCUUACACAUCUGCGGUUUUACAAAAGAAGAGUUUAAAAAGUUGGAUAAUUAUUUGCAGUUUUUACCCCACCAUUAAGGGCCCAGGGAUGUAGGAGUCCUCACAUUCCCCUUGUCCAAAAUGCUUCACACCAAAUUUGAAAAGUAUUGAAAAAGUAGUUAUUGUUAACGCACGGUGUACGACGACGGAUGACAACCAAUUACAAUGGGUCACCUGAGUUUCUCAGGUGACCUAAAAACGUUAUUUGUUAAUAUUUAUUUAAUCUACGACAGAAUCUUCAAGAAAAAUGUCAAUUAGAAAAGGUGAAGAUAACGAGCAGUGAUCAAUAUCAUAAGGAAUACAAAAUGGAGAGUUGGGCAAACACGGACCCCUGGAUAUACCAGAGAUGGGAUCAGGUGUCUAGAAGGAGUAAGCAUCCACUGUCGAGCGUCCACACUCGCCGUGAACCCUAUAUCUUGAUCAGGUAAACAGAGUAAUCCACAGUCAAAAUCAGUGUACCAAGAACGGCCCAACUAUUGCUAGGAAACACGUCAGACAACAUUUGACCCAAUGAUAUGGUUGUAUUGGCAAACUAGAUUGUUAUAACGAACAUAGAAUUUGCGAAAUGCUGACGCUGAACGAGACUGU